rnacentral:misc_RNA from 1 species
AAGGAGCACCACGAAAUGGGGUGCGCACUGGGCGCAUUCCGAGCCGUGAGGAGUUCUCGCCUGUAGUGGGUGGGGGCUGGGUGCACAACAACGUUGAAAACAAGAUCGCCGGCACACUGUUGGGUCCUGAGGCAACACCUGUGUGUUGUCGCCUCGCUUGGUGGUGGGGUGUGGUGUUUGAGUUGUGGAUAGUGGUUGCGAGCAUCUGAAACCAAAAGCNGUUGUUUGNCGGUUUUUGUCGAGUGUUUAGAGAGUAAGAGAG